rnacentral:rRNA from 1 species
UGGGGAAUUUUGGACAAUGGGCGCAAGCCUGAUCCGCGGGGACGAUGAUGACGGUACCCGCAGAAGAAGCCCCGGCUAACUUCGUGCCAGCAGCCGCGGUAAUACGAAGGGGGCUAGCGUUGCUCGGAAUGACUGGGCGUAAAGGGCGCGUAGGCGGAUUAGUUUGUCGGGUGUGAAAUUCCUGGGCUUAACCUGGGGUGUGCAUUCGAGACGGCUGGUCUAGAGUUUGGCAGAGGGUCGUGGAAUUCCCAGUGUAGAGGUGAAAUUCGUAGAUAUUGGGAAGAACACCGGUGGCGAAGGCGGCGACCUGGUCCAUGACUGACGCUGAUGCGCGAAAGCGUGGGGAGCAAACA